CUCCAACCCACAGAGGGGAUGGGAGCAGGAUGCUGUGUCUGUAAUUGUCAGGAGGGAUUUUUGAGGCAGCUUUGGAGCUGGGGAAGUCCAAGAAGCAGCCCCUUAUUUCCCCCUAAUGUGAAAAGUCUCUUUUUGAUCUUAAAGCUGUAGUACACAAGGCAGAGCAGUUCCUCUGGGUGUCACGUCACUUGUCUCUUGUGCUGUGUGUGUCUUCUGUGUGUGUUGCAUUGCCUGUCUCUUGCCUUAGUCCUUUGAGGGGCCUAUCAGAAACCCUGGGCUCAUCCAUAGCAUCUUGUGAUCUCUGCAUUCAUCAGCCUGGCUGUGGUGCCAUCAAACCUUGGUCUCAGGAGCUUGGACAGGCAUCUGAAUCUCUUUUCUUUUGGAAAGCUUCCAGUCUCAUUUCUUAAGGUCUUGCUCUGUGUUGUAUUGCCAGCUGUGCACCUGAAGGAUCCAUCAAAAGAGAUGAGGAAUUAGAGGAAUGGGAAGAUAAGAAGAGGAUUCUCAGGCAUCCAUCUCUUCAGUUCUUGGAGCAAAUCAUUUUGCUGGCAUCUUUUUCCAGCCUUGUCAGCUUACUGUCAGUCUUCCCUCAGUCAUCUCAUUUUGCAUUCUCUCAGUCCUCAUGGUUCUUCUUGCUGAGUUUUUUCGUCCCCCUGUCCUCCCCUCAUUUGUCAUGUCCUGUGUCACGGGUGCCUGCACACAUUUGGUCUGGAGCUGCUCUGCCCUGAUGCAUAGUCACGAUAGGACAAGGUGCAGGGACUUGGGUUUUGUACCGUGGGGUGGUGUUGGACUCUAGAUCAGAUCUGCAGAUUCACUCAAGAUGUCUGGGGCUGCCCAGCUAUUAUGCUGGGCUUUAAAUUUUGUUUUAAGUUCUUUUUACCUUCAGUUUUCUGGGGUUUUGGGUAGAAAAUGUGUGGGGAUAUCUCUUGGCUCUCAGGUAACCACUCACUGACCUCCCGCUUCUGUCUCGCAGGUCCCCGAGGCAGAUUUCCAGUUCUCAGCCGCCACCUUUCACAGAACCUAUCCCUCGAUGUCGAGGACCAGCAGCCAGAGGAUGCGGUCAAGCAUCCUAUUCAGCGUACCGUUUCAGAUCGCAGGAUAUGCUAAAGAUAUACUGGGGUUGAGAGGAAUCCUAAAUCUGAGUCUCAAGUCCGUAGGUUUCCUGCAGCUGGCGGGCAGUGUGGGGCAGGAGGAGGCCAGGAGUCCCUGGAAGGCAACAGCACCUCUUGUGCUUUGGCUCUGCGGUGUCCUGCCUGUGCCAAGCACGUCCCAGGGACGGACACUGGGCUGCCCAGGCAGCGCUGGCACAGACACGGCUCAAGGGCUGCCCGUGGCUCCUGGGCCAGGGGCUGCUCUGAAUGGGCACCUGGAGAUGCUUCAGCCUGGGCAGAGACCACCGAGAGCCCAAAAGCACCGCAAGGCACAGCUGGCAUUUCCUGCUGAUGGCAGCACAGGCCACUUACAGAGGAGCUCAGACAGCGAUUCCUGGUUCUGAUCUCCCAGAGCUCCAACACAGCUGCCAGACAAAAGUCCUUCCUGCAUGCCGAUGAAGGCUUUGUCUGCUCCGAAUUGACGUGUAAUGAAGUGCUGUCUUCUCGCUAAUGGGAGCCAUCGGAGGUGAUGGGUGCUUUGGCAGGAAGUCCCUUGGCAGAACGUGAAGUAGCAGCCCCCAGUAGCUGUGUGUCAUUUGCUGGUGCAGAUGCUCCAGUAACCACUCCAGUGACAGAAAAUACAGACUCACCAGUCUGGGACUUCAGCAGCAAGCAAGAUUAUCCAAAGGGCUUCUCCUGGAUCCACAGCAAACCUUAGUCUUCAAAGUGUGGCAUAAAGCAGGUGAAGGUCAGCUUUCCAGCAUGUCCCAGUAAUUCUACAAACUUGUCCAAGCAGAUGUUGAAUUCCUUGUCAGAGGAAGUCAGUGUUCCCGCUCUAGAGUGGUAAGUUCACAGGCUGACAACCUUUCUGAUUAUUCUCAGAAAAAACUUGAGCUGGGUGAGGUUCAAAGAUACUUCAGUGAGAAGCUGACCAGGUCUUUCCCUGACUUCAGCACAUCCAAACCAAGCCAUGAGGAGUGUGAGAGUGACCCUCAGGGCUUGAUGAGCAGAGAAGUGGAUCCCAAAGGCUGCCAUCUUCUGGAAAAAUCCAGUCAGUUGGUGUCUCAGAGCACUGAACCCAUCAAGAGAAGUGUAGAGAUCCAUGCAGGCUCUGAGGAGCUGCUGCCAUUCCCAGGAGACAGGGGUUUGACCAGUGGAAAAACCACUGAGAGAGAGGAGGAGGAAAAUGCUGAGGUUGUAAAUGGAGAUCAUCAAAGCAAAGAAGGAAGUGGUUCUGAUGAGAACUGUGUUGGGAGUCUAUCAGCACAAGCUGGCUCAGAAAGAAACUGUGAGAGCUUCCCUGAUGACAGCAGUGAAGACCCAGUGGAAGGCUCAGAAAGCUCCAUCAAACCAAAAAUCCCUUUAUCUGAUCCUGUUGUUGUUCCCAACUUCUUCCUUCCACCCCAGGAGAUGGAAGCCUCCAUGACACUGCUCAGCACUUCCUCUCAUCCCUCUGCAUCUCCAGAGGGAUCCUGCUGGAGCUGGUGACAAAUCCCUAGCCCUACACGGACAAGGCAGCAGACCUGUUUCAGAAAGCCAGCAUGGUCCAGGUGGCUGUGUUUAAAGAGGACUCUGAUAGCAUCCAGCAUCCCUGUCUCUCACAUUGACGAUGUCCUGGAUAUGGUGGAUGUCCUGAUUGAGGGCAGUGAUGGCUUUGAUGAAGCAAUUGGGUUCUCUUUAAGUGAAGACAUGAUUAUCCAAACAUUUCCCUUCAGUGCUGUUGUCCCUGCUGCCUUAGAAGCCAGGAAUAUACUGUUGCUUCAGUCUGAAAAUGGAACAGGGAGAUGAACGCAAACUCACAGCCAUUCAGUCCUGACAGUCCCCUGCAGUGAGAGCUCAGUACACAUCCACAGAGGCAAGUCCAGCAUCUGAAAGAAAACAAACCAAAGGAUAAGUGUGGAGGACCAUCCAUCAUCUGCCCUGGACUUCAGAAUGAUGACAUCUGGACUUCAUCCUCACAAUGCUGUAGCACUGACACUUCAAACAAACUGAGAAAAUGAUAAAAAAAAAAGGGCACAACUUACAACCAUUCCACAAGCAUAAUAUCUGUGUGCAAACAAAAGGCUAAAUUUGGCUGGAAAUAAUUAAAGUUUUGGGGUUUCUUUUU